UAUUAGGGUUAGCAGUUAAUUUAAUGAGCUUAAAAUACUGUAUGAUUGAUUUUCCAUCUCCAACCUGCAUGUUACUCUGUAGUUCAGUUUCAUUCAUUUCAUUUUUAUCAUUAUCCAUUUCUUUUAGAGUUUUCCUGUGAAGAAAUCCUAAAUGAGGGUUGAGAUGAAGGAAACCAAGUGAUGGGCAGUUCAAGAUUGCUGUCGUUUGAGAAGUUAAUGAACAAAUCAUCUUUCCUGUUGCGGUUGUGAGCUACAAAAUACCCAGAGGAGGCGGCACUUACUCUGGAGUUCAUACAGACGUAAGCAACACGUAUGUUAUAAAAAGUGUAUGAAGCAUUUGGUCGUGUUGCUGUUUAUUUAGUUGAAAAUAAUGAAGUAUAUUUUAGGACAUAGUUGAUUUGACAAGCUCAUAUGACCGAUGCAAAUGGAGACUAUUGAAAAUGUAAGUUAAGCAAUGUGUAAACAAUUAGAAAGUAUUAUGGAUUGCAGUUGAUUUAAUGAACUUAAAAUACUGUAUGACUACUUUUCCACUCCAACCUGCAUAUUACUCUGUAGUUCAGUUUAAUUCAUUUCUUUUUUUUGUCAUAUCCAUUUCUUUCAGAAUUUUCCUGUGAAGAAAUCCUGAACGUGGUUUAAGAUGAAGGCAACCAAGUGGCUGUGCAUUCCUCCAAGACUCUUGCAUGAACAAUUUCAAAAAUCCAUGUAAUAUUUGAGUUUUUAAAUUGAAAAAAAGUGGCACUUGCAUUAAAUAUGCAGUUAAAUGGUAAAUAAUACAUCCCCUAUAAUGAAUUGCAUCACUUCGAUGAUAUUUCUGUUAUAAUGAACUUCAAAAUUCUGUUGUCAAGCCACUGGAGUCACAUACUUUAUACCUUUCUGGACCUUGAAAAUGGUAGUUGCAUAGACAAUCAAUAGAGGGACAGAAAGUACCCAGAUUUAACUAAAAAUACUCUUAAUUUGUGUUCUAAAAAUGAAUGAAAGUCUUAUGGGUUUGGAAUGGUAUGAGUAAUUGACUGAAUUAACAUUUUUCUGUGUGAACUAUCCCUCUAAACAAUAUUCUUUUCUCUUAUAAGAAAAAAAAAGUUUUGAAUCUUGACUGUUUCUCAUUGUGAUGUUUAAAUUUUGUGACCACUUUUUAGUACAACACCUGUAUUGUACAGAUGCUCAUGUUUUUUUUUUUUUUUUUUUUUUUUUUUAAAUUCUGUCUGUUACUGUUUAAAGCUAAACUGUCUUUUACAAUACAGCCAUUUUGCCUGAGUUGACACAUUGUUAAAUGAAUUGAGUAUUUGAUGUUGUUUAGUCCUAACCCACUUAAGGCAAACAAAAGCCAUUGAAUGCACUUUUAAGAAUGUUUACAUGAAGUAAAAAUAAACCAUGUUCAAAUUUG